GCGGUUCAGUUCCUGUAGUAGCUCCAGGUCUGCAGGCUCUACCUGGGUGGGCACCAGCUCUGUCAGCAUCUCUGACAUCACUCGCACGUUUCCGCUCACCAUCUCCAGCUCACUGCGCAGCUUCCCAAUCUGCUCAGGAGUCGGUGUGAUGGAAGUCAAGAGCUCCAGCUUGGAUGGGAAACAUUUCAGGCUGACCUGGACCUUGGAGCUUCACCUGCCACUGCUUCUCAAGAGUUUGGAUUACAGUCAUACUCCACCAUGUCUUUUUUAAUGAGAUACUGAGCUUCCAUAUGAAAAGGCAUGCCAUCAGGGAGACUGAAGAAGGUGACUAUCUCAAUAAUAAAGGAUUCAGAAGUGCCAGGAUCAACACAGAGAAGAAAUGGAUUUGUAGCAAGCGGUAUUUGCAGC
rnacentral:lncRNA from 1 species